GAUGAACGCUGGCGGCGUGCCUAAUACAUGCAAGUCGAGCGAACAGACGAGGAGCUUGCUCCUCUGACGUUAGCGGCGGACGGGUGAGUAACACGUGGAUAACCUACCUAUAAGACUGGGAUAACUUCGGGAAACCGGAGCUAAUACCGGAUAAUAUAUUGAACCGCAUGGUUCAAUAGUGAAAGACGGUUUUGCUGUCACUUAUAGAUGGAUCCGCGCCGCAUUAGCUAGUUGGUAAGGUAACGGCUUACCAAGACAACGAUGCGUAGCCGACCUGAGAGGGGGAUGGGCGAGACGGGAGGUGGGGCGCGGUCCAGACGCCUACGGGAGGCAGCAGUAGGGAAUCUUCCGCAAUGGGCGAAAGCCUGACGGAGCAACGCCGCGUGAGUGAUGAAGGUCUUCGGAUCGUAAAACUCUGUUAUUAGGGAAGAACAAAUGUGUAAGUAACUAUGCACGUCUUGACGGUACCUAAUCAGAAAGCCACGGCUAACUACGUG
rnacentral:rRNA from 1 species